GACGAACGCUGGCGGCGUGCUUAACACAUGCAAGUCGAACGAAGAGCGAUGGAAGCUUGCUUCUAUCAAUCUUAGUGGCGAACGGGUGAGUAACGCGUAAUCAACCUGCCCUUCAGAGGGGGACAACAGUUGGAAACGACUGCUAAUACCGCAUACGAUCUAAUCUCGGCAUCGAGGAUAGAUGAAAGGUGGCCUCUACAUGUAAGCUAUCACUGAAGGAGGGGAUUGCGUCUGAUUAGCUAGUUGGAGGGGUAACGGCCCACCAAGGCGAUGAUCAGUAGCCGGUCUGAGAGGAUGAACGGCCACAUUGGGACUGAGACACGGCCCAGACUCCUACGGGAGGCAGCAGUGGGGAAUCUUCCGCAAUGGACGAAAGUCUGACGGAGCAACGCCGCGUGAGUGAUGACGGCCUUCGGGUUGUAAAGCUCUGUUAAUCGGGACGAAAGGCCUUCUUGCGAA
rnacentral:rRNA from 1 species